UGCAUUGCUAGCAGUAAGUUGGACUCUUUUCUGCUGAGAGUUGGACUCCGCCAAGGAAACGAGCCUGACUCUGCUGGCAAUGCACACCAGACUCUGACAUCAGUCAUAAAGGGACCUAACAGCCCCUAUCACAGGGCCUGAUACCCCAUACUCCUGGAGAACCCCAGCAUGGUUCCCAGAGGGACACAGUCGAAUUCCUUCUCCAAGUCCACAAAACACAUGUAGAGAGGUUGGGUGAACUCCCAUGAACCCUCCAGGACUCUGCUGAGGUUAUAGAGCUGGUCCAGUGUUUCAUGACCAUGGUGAAAAAUCACACUGCUCUUCUUGAGUCCAACUUUUGACUAUUUGACAGACCCUCCUCUCCAGGACCCCCAAAUAGACCUUGCCAGGGAGGCAUUACUCCCCACAAAUAUAUUUGUGGCUGUAAUGUGACAAUAUGGAACAGUUCAAGGGGUAUGAUUACUUUGUAAGCACUGUACAUCUUAAUCCCGAAUUCAUGACAGGAAAUUCUUGUUGGAGAAAAUGUUAACAUCUCAUGUCAUUCUUAAUAUCACUUUAUCUAACUGCGGUCUCUUUCAUACAUGCAGCAAUCAGAAAGCAGUGUGGAUUAUAUUUCUUUAUCAUUGUUACAGAGGGUUUGAUAUGUAUUUAAUCAUUGUACACAUUUGUGAAUCAUGGUGUAGCUUGUGGAUUUUGUUGUAGGCAUAAAAAUAUUUUUGUACAGUUUGUGAAUCAUUUCGAUACUUAUUUAGCUCCGUAGAAAGGAGAAUUUAUAAUCAGGUUUUGUAUGUAUACAUGAAGGUUUGAGCUUUGAGAAUACGAAAGUGGCUGAUCUUGAAACACUUAUCGGUUCUCUGUAAGAGUAGUUGCUGGAAAUAAUUGGACCAGGAAGCAGCAGAUAAAACAAUCAGUUACUACACGUAUAUUCUUUUCAUUUUUAAAUCAAAAUUAAUUCAAAUAGAUAUUCAAUCUGGCCCAGAGCAUUUUCCUUAUUUUUCUAAUCCGGUUACAGUAACUGUUAUCCUUCGAAUGAAUCAAAUUGUUUUGCGAAACUCGUUCUUUAUUUUGUAGCAUUCAAUUAAAGCUCUCCUUGUUUUAUCUCUCCCCAAUCAACACUGUAGUUUUUACUGCUGCAGCCCCCUAUUGGUUACUUCACUACAAAGACAAAAGUUCAACUCACUUUUGUCCUGUUGACUCCCUCCACAUAGUCAGAAUUUGUCUUGUUUUGGUGGAAUUAACCCUUUUUUCUUCCAGUUUGAGUCUGUUUUUGCAGGUUAUUUUGCAGGUUGUUCCACACAGAAGCUAUCCUUGGAGGCUGCCAAGAAGAGAGAGAGGAAACGAGAACUGGAAGUUCAGCCUAUGAAAGUCCAGAACACUCUGGCCUACCUCAUGGACUUGGACCCACACCCAAUGUGGAGAAGAUGGAGUUAUUGUUUCUUUAGAAAAUUUGAGAUGUGUCGCACCACAUUGGAUGCCGAAGAAGUUGGCCAAAGACCUUUGAAGAAGCAAUUCUUUUUUGUCAUUGUUUAUAAUUGUAAAUAGUUUUUCUUGUAUGUAUGUAUAUAUUUAAAAUACUUUUAUUUAUACUAUAGAGACUGUAAUAUGUCAUGUUAGAUUAUAGUUUCAGUUCCUGUAUGUGUAUAUAGUUAUAGUUCCUGUAUGUGUAUAGUUAUAUAAGUUUUAUAUUUAUAACAAGUGAAACAUCAUGGCAAAGCCAUGAUGUUUCACUUGUGAGAGUAAAUCUGUCGGGCCUCACCUUGACACUCAGGCAACAACCCUGAGUGCCACAUGGCCAGACAGGACACAUGUAAAAUAAAAAACAGCAAAAUUUUUUAUUUUAUUUAUAUUCUUUAAAUGUUGUAAUUUUAGUUCAUU